rnacentral:misc_RNA from 1 species
GAUGAAGAACGUAGCGAAAUGCGAUACGUAAUGUGAAUUGCAAAUUCAGUGAAUCAUCGAGUCUUUGAACGCACAUUGCGCCCCCUGGUAUUCCGGGGGGCAUGCCUGUCCGAGCGUCAUUGCUGCCCUCAAGCACGGCUUGUGUGUUGGGCCCCGUCCUCCGAUCCCGGGGGACGGGCCCGAAAGGCAGCGGCGGCACCGCGUCCGGUCCUCGAGCGUAUGGGGCUUUGUCACCCGCUCUGUAGGCCCGGCCGGCGCUUGCCGAUCAACCCAAAUUUUUAUCCAGGUUGACCUCGGAUCAGGUAGGGAUACCCGCUUAACUUAAGCAUAUCAAUAAGGGAGGA